AUGGAUACUUAUUGCACCCAUCAAAGCAAAAAUAGAAGAAAUCAAAUCUCGUUUGAAUUGAUGGAUUUUGGUUUGUCAACAUUGAUCAUUAUGGUAUUUCCAACACAUAUCAUUUUCAAAUCAACAACAUACCUCCAUUUCUUUACAUAUUGCCUAUCACCAUCUCUUUCAAUAAUUCCUUUUGCAAUAUCCUUAUUUUCCAUGCUCUGCUUGAAGUAG